CGUGCAGAACAUGUGAUUCAUGUUGCACAGCAGUGGAACAUUUGAAAUAAAGUCAGCACACUCAGUACAGAUAGUGCAUCAAAUAUGAUGCUGCUGCCAGACGUCUGCCUUUGAACACGUCCCUGCAUCGCGCACAACACCAAGGUUGCCAUGGCGAUCACAGCUGACAGGGACAAAGCGCACAGCUGGAAGCCUGCAGGUGAUGGAGAGCUCAGAUGAUGACCCCGCCUACGUGGUCAAAUUCAAGUCUACAUUCAGAACAGACCUGGAGACACGCAAGCAAAAUGCCAACAUUGUAUAUGUGAAAACUGCUGCUGGAGCCAGAUUCAAGGAGCUCAAGUGUUUACCCAGAUCUUACUGAACUCACUGCAGGAACAGAGGGUUGUUGGAGGGAAACCUGUGGAAGCAACAACAUCCGAGCCACCAGAGAAGAAGUUGGCCCUGUUGGUGCUUCAUCAGAGUGUGAACAGGAGGAAGACUCAGCUGAGAACAGUGUGGUGGAUACAGAGCAGAGCCCACCAUCAGUACAGAGGCCUGUCCAUUAGAGUGCUGCUCCAACAUGCAGCACAUGUACUUGGCCACAGCUGCAACAUCUGUACCUGUGAAAGCUUCUUCUCUGUUGCUGCUCAUAUUGUGCAGAAGAAGAGAGUUUCUUUAUCAUCAGAAAAUGUCAAUGAGCUUGUGAGUCUUAGCAGCUGGCUCGGUGCAGAGGAGGAAGAACAUGUCAGUCAGAGGAAGAUAAAUGCAGUUCAUGUUGUCAACUCAACCUGGACUGUUGAAAGAGUUUUUCUUUGUCUGGUUUCUGACUGAGAUUCUCCAAAGGAAAUCCAGCACAAACACACACUUCACACACUCAAAGUCCUGCACAGUAAAUGAGCUGAUGAGCGUUUGUGCUGCUGCCUGAUAACAGAACAAUAGUUCUGCUGCUUCCUGUUCUGGAAACACACAUUUAUAAAUGUUCACUUGCUGUUGAUCAAAGGUAUGUUGGUGGCUCUGGACGCUGAGGGAACUUUGUAAAAAACUAGAUCAAAUGUUAACGUCCUGGCAGAGGCAAAGAACUUUGAUUUGAUAUUUGAUUAGAUUCAUGUUUCAGCUCAGACUGACAGAAAUAUUUGAACUGCUGCUGUGUUAAAGGGAACACUGCUGUUAGAAAGCACCUGAUCUGUUUCUGCACACUGAAUGUUGCACUUCUCAUACUGCAGUACUAUUAAAAUAAGUACACAAUGCA